CCCGACUAGACCACCGUUACCGUCGAAGAUGCCAUGCACGACGUCAAACAGUGAUGCCUCUCUUAUUUUUUCUUCUUCACCGGUCACUGCCACCACCGCUAUUGCUGAACUCGCUCGCGUCUGCUCUUCCGCCAGCCAUCGCCACUGCUCCUUGAGUGGCCUCCUUCUCCACUUGCCACAGACGGCAGCUCCUCCCUCUCCCUCUUCCCCGAUUCU
rnacentral:lncRNA from 1 species